ensembl:lncRNA
CAACAGGUGGGCUUUGCCUCACCUUGCUACGAACCCACUAUCCACAGACUUCCCUCCUAACAAGGAUCCAGUGCUGGAACAGAAGUAACAACCGUGCAAGGAAAAGCAACACUUAACUCCAGUAGUACCUCUUGGUCUUGUGUUCGAAGUUUUCCACGUCCGCAGACAGACAGACUCCUGCCAAGCAGUAACACAAGCUCCACGGAGUUGAAAUAAGUCCCUCCAAGAUCUUCUGCACCCACUUGUCAUCCCUCAGAGACAAGCAGGGGAAACGACAUGGAUCCCUCGGAAGCCACAAGACAAGAGAGAAAAACUCCAGGUCUGGAUGCUCGCAGAGAGGAUGAAACCACCAGGGAGACUGUAAGAGGGGUGAGACUGCAAGACAACAGCCUGCGGAAGACACCACCCCACUCCAGCCUAAAUCCAAGCCGCCUUCGCCCUGUUGUCAUAGCAUUUUACAACGGAGGCUACUGCGCAAGUCAGACGCGGGGCCGCAGGGCUUGCUGGGUGUUGUAGUCCGGGUGGCCGAGCGCGAGCUGUGGAGCAUAUGUGAAUUUUGAAUAAGAACCAACCAAGCUUGAUGACCUCGGUUCAAUCUCAAGUGAGGCAUAGGUGGAAGAAGGUGCAAAUCAACUGCCACGAGUUGUCUUCUGACCACCACAUGUGGGGCCUCCACCGUGGGACGCCCGCCCCAGGAAGCAAAUAAGCAAAAGCAUUUCUGGAAAUUCCUUAAUUCAAUUUCACAGUCCUCAAGGGACUCUCAACCCAGAGUCUGGGAAACACAAGUACAGCAUUUAGCAGUCCCAGGAACUGUCUGUGGGAUGAAUUCUCAUCUAGGAAGACUUAGCACUCCAGUAGCUACAGAACCAGCGGCAUCCACACAUUGUGCUAACACUCGGUUAGCAGAGAGCUCUGUUAAAACCCAGACCUGGUCCUGACCCUCCUCCGCAACCUCUGUUUCCUCCGUGUACCUACCUGCUACCUUCGAGUUUCAGAUCCUUACGAAGCGGCCAGACCCGGGACAACCUCACUUCACCUACUCCAGCCUCAUCCUAAGACCCUGUUUCCGGUUUCCUUUGGCUCGGCUUUGACUGGCUCUUCUUGUCUCUCACGCACUUUUGAAAGUUGUGCUACCCACCUUGAGACGCUUCCCUUGGUCUCUGAGCCAAUCAUUCAGUAGCCUUUUCUCCUCUGUUACCGAGCCCCUUCCUCACCAAUUGUUGCUGCUUUGAUAGGCUUUCUAUGCACCCAGGCUACCUAUGAACUCUCUUUGUAGCCAGUUUGAAUAACGUGUUGCUCCCCUCGCCACCGCCCCUCAUAUAUUUAAAUACUUGGUCCCUAGUCAGUACAGCUGUUUGGGAAGGAUGAGGAGGUAUAAUCUUAUCAGAGGAUUGGAGAAGGUAUGUAAUGGGGGGUGAACUCUGAGGUUUCAAAACAUUUGGGCCAUCUCCCAUCUUUCUCCCCUUCUCUCUCCCUCCCUUUUCCCCUCUCUCCUCUCCCCUCCCCCACCCACAACUUUAAGGUCAAUGAGUAAGCUUUUACUAUAACAAUAACACUGUAUUCUUUAAGACAUAAACUCCAUGAAGACGAAAUCA